rnacentral:rRNA from 1 species
GAUUAACGCUGGCGGCGUGCAUAACACAUGCAAGCCGAACGAUGAAACUUAGUCGACUUCUUCGGCAAGACACUCAGCGGUAUAGUGGCGAACGGGAGAGUAACGCCCGAGUAACCUGCCUUACACAAGGGUAUAGCCUCUGGAAACGAAGUAUAAUUCCCUAUAAAACUAUAAAAGCACAUGCAAAACUGGUAAAAGUGAUAGCGGCGUAAGAUGGCCUUGCGUCUGAUUAGUUAGUUUGAGAGAUAAAAGCCCACCACGGCAACGAUCAGUAGCCGGCGUGAGAGAGUGUACGGCCAGACUGGGACUGAGACAAGGCCCAGACUCGUAAGGGAGGGAGCAGUGGGGAAUUGUGCACAAAGAGGGAAAUCCUGACGCGGCGAGGCCGCGUGAUUUAGAAGGCAUUCGGGGAGUAAAAAUCUAUUGUAUGGGAGGAAACUGACAGUACUAUACCAAUAAGGCCCGGCUAAUUACGUG